CCAGACUCCUACGGGAGGCAGCAGUAGGGAAUCUUCCGCAAUGGGCGAAAGCCUGACGGAGCAACGCCGCGUGAGUGAAGAAGGAUUUCGGUUCGUAAAGCUCUGUUGUUAGGGAAGAAUGGAUAUGUAGUAACUAUACAUGUACGAGACGGUACCUAACCAGAAAGCCACGGCUAACUACGUGCCAGCAGCCGCGGUAAUACGUAGGUGGCAAGCGUUGUCCGGAAUUAUUGGGCGUAAAGCGCGCGCAGGUGGUUUAAUAAGUCUGAUGUGAAAGCCCACGGCUCAACCGUGGAGGGUCAUUGGAAACUGUUAAACUUGAGUGCAGGAGAGAAAAGUGGAAUUCCUAGUGUAGCGGUGAAAUGCGUAGAGAUUAGGAGGAACACCAGUGGCGAAGGCGGCUUUUUGGCCUGUAACUGACACUGAGGCGCGAAAGCGUGGGGAGCAAACAGGAUUAGAUACCCUGGUAGUCCACGCCGUAAACGAUGAGUGCUAAGUGUUGGUCUCAUAAGAGAUCAGUGCUGUAGCUAACGCAUUAAGCACUCCGCCUGGGGAGUACGACCGCAAGGUUGAAACUCAAAGGAAUUGACGGGGGCCCGCACAAG
rnacentral:rRNA from 1 species